AGAGUUUGAUCAUGGCUCAGAACGAACGCUGGCGGCAUGCCUAACACAUGCAAGUCGAACGAGACCUUCGGGUCUAGUGGCGCACGGGUGCGUAACGCGUGGGAACCUGCCCUCAGGUUCGGAAUAACGUCGGGAAACUGACGCUAAUACCGGAUAAUGUCUUCGGACCAAAGAUUUAUUGCCUGAGGAUGGGCCCGCGUUGGAUUAGCUAGUUGGUGGGGUAAAGGCUCACCAAGGCGACGAUCCAUAGCUGGUCUUAGAGGAUGAUCAGCCACACUGGGACUGAGACACGGCCCAGACUCCUACGGGAGGCAGCAGUGGGGAAUAUUGGACAAUGGGCGAAAGCCUGAUCCAGCAAUGCCGCGUGAGUGAUGAAGGCCUUAGGGUUGUAAAGCUCUUUUACCAGGGAUGAUAAUGACAGUACCUGAGAAUAGUC
rnacentral:rRNA from 1 species